GUACUCCCUGUCGAUGAGGCUCUCGAUCCUCUUCUUCAGGUCGGCAGGCUUUAUUGGAAACUUGAGCUGCUGAAAGAGCUCGGUUAUUAGAAGUGUGUGACUCAGUAUUUUCCUUGUCUUCAUGAUACGAACAAUAGCUGCAUCAACCUGAUACUGACGAUCCUGGAAUACUCUCUCAGUAGUGCUUGUAUUUUCUUCCACAGUCUCCUUCAUCUGAAUUGCAUUUACCUU
rnacentral:misc_RNA from 1 species